rnacentral:rRNA from 1 species
GGAUCCAGACUUUGAUUCUGGCUCAGGACGAACGCUGGCGGCGCGCCUAACACAUGCAGGUCGAACGGAGAUUACAGGCGGAAGUUUUCGGAUGGAAGCUUGUAAACUUAGUGGCGGACGGGUGAGUAACACGUGAGCAACCUGCCUAUCAGAGGGGGAUAACGAUUGGAAACGAUCGCUAAUACCGCAUGACAUAGCGGAACCGCAUGGUUUUGCUAUCAAAGAUUUUAUCGCUGAUAGAUGGGCUCGCGUCCGAUUAGAUAGUUGGUGGGGUAACGGCCUACCAAGUCGACGAUCGGUAGCCGGACUGAGAGGUCGAACGGCCACAUUGGGACUGAGACACGGCCCAGACUCCUACGGGAGGCAGCAGUGGGGGAUAUUGCACAAUGGGGGAAACCCUGAUGCAGCGACGCCGCGUGAGGGAAGACGGUCCUCUGGAUUGUAAACCUCUGUCUUCGGGGACGAAACGAGACGGUACCCGAGGAGGAAGCCACGGCUAACUACGUGCCAGCAGCCGCGGUAAUACGUAGGUGGCAAGCGUUGUCCGGAAUUACUGGGUGUAAAGGGAGCGUAGGCGGGCAGGCAAGUCAGGCGUGAAAUAUAUCGGCUCAACCGGUAACGGCGCUUGAAACUGCAGGUCUUGAGUGAAGUAGAGGUUGGCGGAAUUCCUAGUGUAGCGGUGAAAUGCGUAGAUAUUAGGAGGAACACCAGUGGCGAAGGCGGCCAACUGGGCUUUUACUGACGCUGAGGCUCGAAAGUGUGGGGAGCAAACAGGAUUAGAUACCCUGGUAGUCCACACCGUAAACGAUGAUUACUAGGUGUGGGGGGACUGACCCCUUCCGUGCCGGAGUUAACACAAUAAGUAAUCCACCUGGGGAGUACGGCCGCAAGGUUGCAA